rnacentral:rRNA from 1 species
AUUGAACGCUGGCGGCAGGCCUAACACAUGCAAGUCGAGCGAGCGGCGGACGGGUGAGUAAUGUAUGGGGACUGCCCGAUAGAGGGGGAUAACUACUGGAAACGGUGGCUAAUACCGCAUACUAUCGGAUAACCCAUAUGGGAUUAGCUAGUAGGUGGGGUAAAGGCUCACCUGGGCGACGAUCUCUAGCUGGUCUGAGAGGAUGCUCAGGCACACUGGGACUGAGAGAGGGAGCAGUUUCGUACGGGGGCAGCAGUGGCGAGUAUUACACAAUGGGCGCAAGCGUGAUGCAGCCGUGCCGGGUGGGGAAUGAAGGCCUACGGGUUGUAAACUCCUUUCGCCGUCGACGCGGUACAUGGAGAAGAAGCACCGGCUAACUACGUGCCAGCCGCCGCGGUAAUAC